rnacentral:rRNA from 1 species
AUUGAACGCUGGCGGCAGGCCUAACACAUGCAAGUCGAGCGAGCGGCGGACGGGUGAGUAAUGUCUGGGAAACUGCCUGAUGGAGGGGGAUAACUACUGGAACCGGUAGCUAAAACCCCAUAUCACCAGAUGUGCACAGAUGGGAUUAGCUAGUAGGUGGGGUAACGGCUCACCUAGGCGACGAUCCCUAGCUGGUCUGAGAGGAUGACCAGCCAAACUGGAACUGAGACACGUUCCAGACUCCUACGGUAGGCAGCAGUGGGGAAUAUUGCACAAUGGGCGCAAGCCUGAUGCAGCCAUGCCGCGUGUGUGAAGAAGGCCUUCGGGUUGUAAAGCACUUUCAGCGGGGAGGCGUUACCCGCAGAAGAAGCACCGGCUAACUCCGUGCCAGCAGCCGCGGUAAUAC